rnacentral:rRNA from 2 species
UACAGAGGGUGCAAGCGUUAAUCGGAAUUAUUGGGCGUAAAGGGCAUGUAGGUGGUUUGACAGGUUUGAUGUGAAAGCCCCGGGCUUAACCUGGGAAAGUCGUUGAAUACGGUCAAACUCGAGUCGGACAGAGGGCAGUGGAAUUUCCGGUGUAGCGGUGAAAUGCGUAGAGAUCGGAAAGAACACCAGUGGCGAAGGCGUCUGCCUGGGUCCAGACUGACACUGAGGUGCGAAGGCGUGGGGAGCAAACAGG